CAUCUCAUGUAAUCUUCAUUCCAAACAAAGUAUGGCAGUCGUUUUAUUUAUACUUUUGCCAUGAACACAAGACUAGAUGGUAUAUUUAUUUCCCCUAUAUCCAUUCAUUCAUACAUGCCUUUUUGCAAACAUAUGUACACACACAACCAAUCUCGCCUCUCUCUAUAUGCAUAUUAGAGCCCAAAUUCAUCAUCAUCAUUCUGGAGUUUAGGAGUCAAGUUCAUAUCUCAUACAUCUUUGUUCCUUCCUUAAUUUUUAUGUAGGUCACGACAAGGUUAUUUCAAGCUUUGGGAUUUCUUUGUCUUUUUUUGAUAUAUGGAGUAUUAUGCUUUGCUGACCAGGUUGCAUUUUUCAAAACUACGGAACUGUUGGAAUAGGGGAACCCAUGGGAAUUCGAGUAAUUAGCAGGCGUUAUAUUUCUAGAAGUCUUAGCUUAUUUGCUUCCGCUGUGCAAUGAAGAUACCGGUCCAGUCACGCCAGCUCUGAUUUUUCAGGCUAUGACAAAAGGAAACAGAAGCCAAGCCUCCACGAAGGUUAAAGAAGCGUAAAGCUUCAAAGAAUCCCGCAGCGGUUGCACCAAAUCAAGCAGGACCUAGCCAGGUGGCAGCACCACCUGCCAAGAAGCCGUACUUGGGAACUGCUCCUUUGUGCAAUCAAUGUAACCUCCACCACCAUGCCAGUGUCAAAUGCCGAACAUGUUCCAACUGUGGACUUAUUGGCCAUACGGCAAGAGUUUGUCGUUCAGUCGCUGUGUUAAACCAAGCUGUUCCGAACCCUGUUCAAAUUCAAGCAGAUCCAGCACAAGCUCGUUUUCCUCCUGGUACUUGCUACACCUAUGGCGAGACGGGUUAUCUCAAGAACAAAGCCCAAAGAUUUUCAAUGCAAAUCUGACCCAUGGAUGAGCAUUUGGCUGAUUAGAAGAAGCUGCUGCUUUGAA